GAAAGCAGUGACAGACAUGUAACGUUACUCCAUUUUAGAAGAUUCAAUAACAAAAUCUCUUCGCAGGGCACAAGACGUGAGAACGGAGACGGGUGACGGCGUUUCCAUGGUGACGCGUCAUUGCUUGUCACGUGACACACCGCAGCAGCAACAGCUGAUAUGAAUAAAACAUAUAUUAUAUGAUGUCUAUGGAAUAAAACGUGUGCAUAGAAAUAUAAAUAACUAGACGCCUCAUUGGCCGCUCGACCGCACGUCAACGUCGCCGCCAUAUUGGAGCGGGCAACUCUCCUAACUCUCACAUCAGGACAGAAGAAAACAUACCUGACUUAUCGACAGAUUGGAUACCUACAAACCGUCACACGAUAAUAAAAACAGAUCUCGGGGUGUUAUCUUUCACAGCCAUUUGCAAACAGGACAAGGACAGUCUUAAGGAAAGCUGAGGAAAGCUGUUCUCAGCGACAAUACUAUACCUCCCUAGGCUACACUGUAAAAAAUUUCUGUAAAUUUACAGCAUAUUAACAGCGUAAAUAUACAGUACUGAACUGUUUUCUAAAAUUACGGUGUCUUACCGUAAAUGCACACGUGAUCGGUGGGAGAGGGGGAACCAAAGGCUAGCUGACGCAUGGAGGAGCAUGGUUUCAGUCAAAGUUUUAUGGAUUUCAUCUCAAGUUGAGGCUCAUUUACAGAUUGCAGAUAACGAGGAUAUGAAGAACAUGAAGAUGGACUGGUUUCACAUGCAGAUGUUGCAGCAUCUGCAUCUGAGGUUGAGAAGACACUCAAUCUACCUGCCAAUCCUCAUCUGAUUUUGCUGGUGUCCAGUCAACAUUUUUGACUGCAGUUGCAAGUGUUUGCUGUGCACUACAUCUUCAACCUGCAGUAUCAAGAGGAGGCCUGUUGCACGUUAGAGUUUUUUCAAAGAUGAUUCUAUGGAAUAAACCCAGAAAGAGUCUCAAAGACCUGCCGAGGCAAGGUAGUCUCCAAGAAGACGGGGAAGGUGGUGAAUAAGAAGUCCACUACAGUCAAUCCAAAGGUUGCCACUCUACAAAAAAAUCGAAU